CCUCAUUUACAUUGCAAAAUUUGAAACGAUCCACUACAGAUCGUUUAUCAGUAUUCUCAACAAUAGCCUUUAUACUUGGAUGCGUGCUGAAAUCAGUGUCAGACUCGUGCUCAAUCAUUUCGCAAAAACCGUCCGUGAUAUGUGAAAAAUAAUCAUUAAAUAUAUUUGCAAUUUGUUCUUUAUUAGUUAUCAUAAUAUCAUCCUCUUUCAAUGUUAUAUCAUUCGCUUGCUUCGAUUGUCUAGUAUGUAAAAAUGGACGAUAUGCAUUCCAAAACUCACGGGGACUCUUCGCCUCUGCUUUUCUUAGAAAAUAUUCUUUAAUAGCUUUACGUCUAAUUGAAGUGCAUUUAUUUCGUUGUACUUUAUACUUAGCGUAGUUGAUUUGAUUCCUUUCUUUGGUAAAGGUUUUCCAUAAUUUAUUUCGACAACGAAUUACUUUGCGCCAUCUUGAUUCAUAUGUAUAAGGCACUUGAUUUCCCCGCACAUGAACUUGUUUGAUUGGAGCAUGUUCAUUUAACACAUUGUUGUAAAGUGCUUCAAAAACAUAUAGUUUACAUCUACAUCGUCAAAAAUUUCCAUCACAUGGAAAGGGUCAUUAUGUAAAUCGCUUAGAAAUUGCUCUCGAUCAAAGUUUUUAGGGCUACGAAAACAAAUUUUUCGAGAUCGUCUGUAUGGUGCUGAAACCCAUAGAAUAGCGUAAAUUAACGAGUGGUCGCUAACCUGCACAUCCACCACCCCGCUUGCUAUAAUUCGUCUCUUGUUGUCAGUUAAUAUGAGAUCAAGUAACGUGUUUGAUGUUUUACUUACACGAGUAGGCAAAUUUAUAACAUUCUUUAG